UGCAUGCUUGUGUGAGCUUGAUAACCUUGCUAGCUAUGAUAUUAUUAUUGGACUGGUAUAAUUUACAAACUGUGGACAUAGUGCUAAAUAAAUUGGCCAAUACUUGUUGAUGUAAUACUUGACAUUCUUUAUGCACGCCAUUCAUGCUUUACAUGUUAGGUUAGUGAUUGGGGUUUUGAGCAUAAAGUAGGAAAAGAAUGAUAACCCUCUAUUAAAUUAACCCGUAAACCACCUUAAUACAGUUUGGUGAUAAUUGAGCUAUUAUAGGGGAGCAUUGAGAUGAGCGGGGGCUCCGUGCAUGAAUUUUAUUGUGUGGAUUGCCUAGACCAGUGGGAUGAAGAGUAGGUGAAAAUCUUAAAUUGGGGGUUGGUUUUGGAAACUAAAUGUCCAGAAAAACAACAAAGGGCAUAAAAUUAAUAUGCGAGAAUAAGACACUUCUUUUCAUGCCUUUAUGACUCGAGCAAGUAAG
rnacentral:lncRNA from 1 species